AAUGAACGUUGGCGGCGUGGAUUAGGCAUGCAAGUCGAGCGCUCACCCGCAAGGGUGGGAGCGGCGAAAGGGAGAGUAACGCGUGGGUAUCUACCCUCGGGACUGGGAUAGCUGCGGGAAACUGCAGGUAAUACCAGAUGACGUCCCCGGACCAAAGGUGUGAUUCCGCCUGAGGAUGAGCCCGCGUCCUAUUAGCUUGUUGGUGGGGUAAUGGCCUACCAAGGCAAUGAUGGGUACUGGGUGUGAGAGCACGACCCAGCUCACUGGGACUGAGACCCUGCCCAGACACCUACGGGUGGCUGCAGUCGAGAAUCUUCGGCAUGGGCGAAAGCCUGACCGAGCGACGCCGCGUGUGGGAUGAAGGCCUUCGGGUUGUAAACCGCUGUCAGAGGGGAGGAAUGGGCGGAGGGUAAUCUCUUCGUUUUGACCUAUCCUCAGAGGAAGUACGGGCUAAGUUCGUGCCAGCCGCCGCGGUAAAAC
rnacentral:rRNA from 1 species